GUGGGGAAUAUUGGGCAAUGGACGAAAGUCUGACGGAGCAACGCCGCGUGAGUGAUGAAGGUUUUCGGACUGUAAAGCUCUGUUGUUUAGGACGAAAGUGCCUGUUGCAAAUAGUUACAGGUAUUGACGGUACUGAACGAGGAAGCCACGGCUAACUACGUGCCAGCAGCCGCGGUAAUACGUAGGUGGCAAGCGUUGUCCGGAAUUAUUGGGCGUAAAGAGCAUGUAGGCGGGAAUCUAAGUCUGUUGUGAAAAUGCGGGGCUCAACCCCGUAUUGCGAUGGAAACUGGGUUUCUUGAGUGCAGGAGAGGAAAGGGUAAUUCCCAGUGUAGCGGUGAAAUGCGUAGAUAUUGGGAGGAACACCAGUGGCGAAGGCGCCUUUCUGGACUGUGUCUGACGCUGAGAUGCGAAAGCCAGGGUAGCGAACGGGAUUAGAAACCCCUGUAGUCC
rnacentral:rRNA from 1 species